rnacentral:rRNA from 1 species
AGCGAACGCUGGCGGCAGGCUUAACACAUGCAAGUCGAGCGGGCAUCCUUGUGGUGUCAGCGGCAGACGGGUGAGUAACGCGUGGGAAUGUGCCCUUCGGUUCGGAAUAACUCAGGGAAACUUGAGCUAAUACCGGAUACGUGCGAGAGCAGAAAGGUUUAUCUGCCGAAGGAUCGGCCCGCGUCUGAUUAGCUAGUUGGUGAGGUUACGGCUCACCAAGGCGACGAUCAGUAGCUGGUCUGAGAGGAUGAUCAGCCACACUGGGACUGAGACACGGCCCAGACUCCUACGGGAGGCAGCAGUGGGGAAUAUUGGACAAUGGGGGCAACCCUGAUCCAGCCAUGCCGCGUGAGUGAUGACGGCCUUAGGGUUGUAAAGCUCUUUUCUCCGGGACGAUAAUGACGGUACCGGAGGAAUAAGCCCCGGCUAACUUCGUG